GAGGACUGCUGGCACGGAACUCUGGGGCUGGGGCCCUACCCGAUGGGUCACAAAGAGGAUCAUAGAGACGAGAAGACAGAGUGCUGAUACCAUUCAGAGGCAUGCAUGGAAGAAGGAAAGAGGGAAAAGGCACUUGGGGAAAAGUCUCGGUUGAAGCAACUGGGGCCAAUAAGGACCAGAAACGGAUGAGAUGUUCCAGCAAGAAGCAGACGGCCUGAAAGAGAAAUGUGGACCCCAGACACAGGAAGAAAGGCAGAAGACAGCCAGCGUCCAGGCACUUCAAAGAAACCCACUUGGAAGCCAGGACUUGGGGAGCUAGGCAAGGAUGUCUCACAAACGCAGUUCCCCAAGUGUGUUUCUGCAAAACUCCUUGAAGGUCCUGAGGGGGGCGAACAGGAGAGAACUUCCAGACAAGGAGAGAAAGAGGGA